GAACUAUCUUGAACUCUCCAAAGAACUUGCACUUGAACUUGCUCUUGAACUUACACUUGAACUAGCACUUGAACUUGAACUAUCUUGAACCUUGAAUCUGAAACAUACUGAAUGAAACUUGAAUCUGGAAAUCUUGAAUCGAAUCAAAACUGGAACAGAAUAUUUCUAAAGAUUGUAUUGCCAUUUUUAGAAGACAUAAUUAUUGUCAAUUAUAAAGAAAUUAUUGGCAGUUUCUAGAAGGAAUUAAAAGUAAACUGAAAUAAAAAGAAGAACAGUAGAGGGAAAGGAAUCUAACUCUAAUUCCUGGAACUUGAUAAGACCAUACUUACAGUUGAAAGCAGUAAUAUUGUAAAUCUUGGGAAAGAAAAAAAGAGGUAUACAUUUUAAAGAGUAAAGUAGAUUGGAAAAGUAGUCGUUCAAGAUAAAUAUUGGAAGUUCGAAGGACUGUAUUGCCAUUUUAGAAGACAUAAUUAUUGUCAAUUACAAAGAAAUUAUUAGCAGUUUCUAGAAGGAAUUAAAAGUAAACUGAAAUAAUAAAAGAAGAAUAAUAGAGGAACAGGAAUUUAAUUCUAAUUCCUGGAACUUGAUAAGACCAUAAUUACAGUUGAAAGCAGUAAUAUUGUAAAUCUUGGGAAAGAAAAAAAGAGGUAUACAUUUUAAAGAGUAAAGUAGAUUGGAAAGUAGUCGUUGAAGAUAAUAUUGGAAGUUUUAAGGACUGUAUUACGAUUUUAGAAGACAAAAUUGCUGUCAAUUAGAAACAAAAUCUUGGCAGUUUCUAGAAGGAAUUAAAAGCAAAGUGAAAAAAAAAGAAGAACAAUAGAGAAAAAGCAAUCUAAUUCUAAUUCCUAGAACUUGAUAAGACCUCUAUUAGAAUUCAAAACAGUAGUAUUAGUAAUCUUGGGAAAGUAAAAAGAGCGUAUACACAGCAAAGAAUAAAGAAGAUUGAACAAAAUAGUGUGAAGAAGGCAAUAUUGCAAGUUUGAAAGACUGUAUUGCCAUUUUAGAAGACAUAAUUACUGUAAAUUAGAAAGAAAUUAUUGGCAGUUUCUAAAAGGAAUUAAAAGCAAACUGAAAUAAAAAGAAGAACAACAGCGAGAAAGCAAUUUAAUUCUAAUUCCUAGAACUUGAUAAGACCAUAAUCACAAAAAAUUUGUGUCAAUAUAUAGAGUCCUAGAAAAGUGAGCGUGGUUGAUUGUAAAGAGAAAAGGAAAGAAAUCCUUCGAUAUAUAGUGUUCAGAAUUUUAAAAAUAAAAGUAAGCUUGAUUGCAGAGAGAGUAAGAAAGAAGAUUGGGUCAGGAUAUAUAUAUAGUUUUAAAAAUAUAAGUGAGGUUGAUUGAUUUGAGAGAGAAUAAGAAAGAUAUUUUGGUCAGGAUAUAAAGUGAACCUGUUUGCAGAGAGAGAGUAACAAAGAAAUUAGCAAUUUGGGAACUUAUAUAGGCCUACAAUACAUUUAGGCUAUUAAUGACCUACUCAUAAUUUUAAUAAAAAACGCCAUCUUGAGACAAAAACAUUAUAGCUCCUUAACACAGUACAAGCUAGUGUAUAUAAAGCUAGGCUAUUGAAAUACCAUAGAGUUUAAUAUCAGUAAGGAUUAGUUUUUCAUAAUUCACAAUAGGAAUAUUUAAAUAAAAGACUAUUGGAGUAAGGAAUAUAUACAGAACAUUAUAUAUCAAAGUUACAGAACCGUUAAUUGUAGACUUGUAAUUAUUAACCAGAACUGUUGCAAGUAUAUAAGCAAAAUUUACCAUGAUGGAUACAAUUGAAUUUAAGAAAACACUUGAUGAAAUCAUGAAUAUACUGACUAGUUGUGCAUUGGUGACCAACCCAAAGCUUAAUGAAUGCUGUAUCUGUAACAAUGAAAUCAAAGAAAAUGAAAGUGAUGCAAGAUGUGACUGUUGUAGUAAGCAUUUUCAUGUGACAUGUAUGGGAUUCCCUUGUGAAGACAGACUGAGUGACCUGACAUUGAUCUGGAUUUGUUCAUUUUGUGGAAAUAACAACAUGGCUCAUCGCAUGUUUGAUCAAGUAUGCAUCCCUUCUCAUUUCAAUAGAUACGAACUUCUUGGUGAUCAUGAUGAACACUGUUACUUGGAUUUGAACCAAUCAAGGACCCUAUCAAGUACGACCAACAAAAGAAAAUGUGGCAGAUCAAAGAAGAGAUCAAGGAUUUGCGAAAGUACAGAGUUCAUGCUGGUGGCAAGAAAAAAGAAGCAAAGAACAAGAAAGGUCGAGCAAGGAACAAGAAAGAUGUUUCAGAUGGUGUACAAGAAGAUGCAGUGUAUGACAAUGACCUGA
rnacentral:lncRNA from 15 species